rnacentral:rRNA from 1 species
CGUGUAGGCGGAGAUGCAAGUUGGGAGUGAAAUCCAUGGGCUCAACCCAUGAACUGCUCUCAAAACUGUAUCCCUUGAGUAUCGGAGAGGCAAGCGGAAUUCCUAGUGUAGCGGUGAAAUGCGUAGAUAUUAGGAGGAACACCAGUGACGAAGGCGGCUCGCUGGACGACAACUGACGCUGAGGCGCGAAAGCGUGGGAGCAAACA